rnacentral:lncRNA from 1 species
GUCUUCCUCUUCGUCCUCCUCCUCCCGCUCGCUCCCAUAAGCAUUGCCCUCCUCGUCCGUGCGACUACGGGGAGCCCACGUCAUCUUGUUCUCCUUCUUGAGGCGCCGGCGCGCGUUGGCGAACCAGAAGGGAAAGAAAAACAAAACGCAACACCACACAACAACACCACACAAGAGCCUCUGAGAUGCUCCUUCCUUCCUUACUGCAUUAACCAGCUAUCGACCUGGUUGUGUCCGAUUGCGAUGAUGGGCUGAGAGAAAGAACACCGGAAGAGCCAGGCUGUUCUCAGGAAGGACUCACGCCGGCCACGGGGCCGCCCCUGGCCCAGAGGGUGAACCUCUAGACCCAGGCACAGUGCACAAAGCGCUCGCCGCGGACGCUCUGUGGUCUGGGAUCAGGGCGCCAGGAGCAUACAGAAAAGGUGUACGCCGAGGACACGUGGCGCACGAAGCUGUGCGCGCUGGAGGACAACUACAAGGGGUGCCCUAUGUGUAGCCAGAGGCCCACCAGCUUCGGGGUCGGACACUCCGAACCACCAGCCCCCAUCUCUUCCCUCCCCUGGUCCAGCUCCCCGAUGUGCCCGUGCCCCCCGUCGUUGGGAGCUUCUGCAGCUGUGUCUCCCAGCUCGGACAGAGUUCACUCCUUUCCUCCCAAGGCUCAGAGUCCCCCAGAGGCGGUGCGGGCUGGCUAUCCUUCAGCUUCUUGCAGAGGCUGCUGCGUACGCUCCCCCCCCCCCCAGCUGGGGUUACAGCAGCCACACGGACUUGCAGAUGCAUGGCCUGGCGUAGCACCGGGAGGAAUUCACAUUUGACUGUGAAUCCGGCCUCGGAGCAUCCCAGGAGGCGCGGGCCGGGCGCCGGCACGUCUGCCGUGCAACGCUGGCUGAGCCCUGUAAGCCGUCAGGGCCCGGGAGGCUGUCCCUGGUCCAGAGGCGCUACGGGAAACUUUGAGGCAAACUUUGCAAACUUCUUUCUCGGAGUUAAGAGAGGCCGCCGGUCAGAAAGGCUGCGGCGGCAGCAGCGUGGGCCCCAGGCCGGAUUUGUACACCGCCGAACUGGCCCUGCGGCCCCAGAAGGAGCGCGAGGCUCUCCAGCGUGCCCAUCUCUGCCUGCACCUCCCGGACCAGGGCCCCUGCCACUGGCCUUCGAGUGGCCAGCUCUACGCAGCUCCCGGAAUCUCAGCAUGGAAGGAAAACCGUGGCCCUGUGCACCAGUGGUUUUGUUUCUCUUUCUCUCUGCAAAAACAUCCACUUUCCACCUGCGCUGAGCUUUUUCGCUGAUCUUUUUUUUUUUCUUUCUUUUCCGUCCUGUCUAUUUCUCACACUUUCUGUAUGUUUGAUUUCCGGGGAUGUAUUUUUCUCUUUCUUUGAGUCCAAGUGUGUUGUUCGAUCCUUUUAUUUUUAUUUUCCUGGACCGUUUUCUUAAAGCUCAUUCUUUUUUGCCUCUCCCUUCCGUGUCUCUGCCCCCCCCCUCCUCAGUUUCAUCUUCUUCCUUUUCUCCCUCCCUCUCUUACCCCAUCUGCCCUAUUUCAAUCUUGAUCUACCCCAGGCUCUCCUUUGCUGGUUUCUUCUCUUUUCCUUUCCUCUACAGUCUGUCCCCUCCCCCGCCCGUGGAUCUGCUUCUCGGGCAUCCCCUCCCUCCUCAUCCAUCUUGGGAGAUGAAUAUGUCGCCUUAUUGGAUGCGGAGGCCAAAGCAGGGCAAUGGGGCUCGGCCAACGCCGCACAUUUUCUUCAUGCAUAUUGAGAAUAUGGUAAUGAGCGCGUUUGCAUUGUUGCAUGGAAAUGAUGCGACUCCCUCUGCGGUGCGGAGUGGGCAAGGUUGGUGUGGACCCAAGAGAGCUCGGUAGUGGGGACUGGGCCUGGUGGCCAUAGUGACCCACGGGGGGACAAGGACGUGACCUCUAGGAGCGCCCUGCUCUCCCUCCGCCUGCUCUGGCUUCCAGAAAGGCGUCACUACCCGGGUUAAACCUUGGAGAAGGGAAGCCAGCCUCGCUUGCCCGCCCGGUUGUAGCGUCCCUGGUCCCGGCCUGAAAACCCUUCCCCGCUAUUUUAGAGUUCUGGGAAGGAGAGUCUGUUCUCUAAUGGCUACACAUUGUUUGCAACUUGAGUGAUCCUUUAGGAUGAAACACGGCCCUACGCCAUCCGGCGGGCGGGUGGACAUCGUUUGCCCCGCCAGGUUGAACUCUGGCCAGUUGGCCCUCAGCGGGGAUAAGGUUGAACACCCCUCCCCCCAGUUAUCCAACAGAGGCAGCUCUUCCCCGAGGCCAGCCAAGUUCAGGUGAAGGGACCCAGGGCCUGCAGAAGGGUGAAAUUCUGUUGAAGCAGGCCAGGCUCUGCCUGGGACUGGGAAGGAAGCCAUGUUACACUUGCUGGGAGCUCAGAGCCCCGGAACCCCUAUUUAGCAGUCAAACCUCACCACAGCUCACCUCAGGACAUUUUCCUGCCUCCUUCUCCCCCAUUUCCUAUUCGGGAAGUCCCUAGCAGGGGCUCCAGGGCCGAAAUGCAUUGUGGAAAGGCAGCUCUGAAUAGGGUCAGGUUUCCCAACCUUCUAGCAUUCUGCCCGUGGCUAAGGACUGAAGAGUUUCGCUUCAACCGAGUGCUUUUCAAAACUCAAGUGUCUCUUUCUGGGAAAGCGUUUGAUCCGUCCCCUACUUCGGCAAACUGGAAAGUAGCGGUUAGCAGAAAGGAAACCUAGCUAGGAGCAAACCAUGCUCCUAAGCCUUGCACCUUCCCACUUGGGGUUCAAGUGCUUCCUGUGUUAUUAACAAGGCAGCUUUGGGUGUGUGAGUAGUGACUCUUGGAAGACAAGAGCAUAAAAACGAAUGUUUCUUCCUUGGUCCUCUUAUGUCUUAAAAUGAUGUCAGGGGUCUCAAGGGCUGUCCUGGUUUGUGGCUUGGUGGUGGUGUUUUCUGCUAAAACCAGUGUGAAAAUGUGAAGGCAAAACCAACGUGCUGAAUUAUUACUGCAAAUAAGCUCAUUUAAACGUUUUUCAGG